AUACUUACACCAUCUGACACAGACCAGGAUCUGGGAUCUUUCUCCUCUCUAGCAACACAUGUCCAGAAAUGUGUUGCUGUCACUCAUAAGAGAAUCUGAUGACAAAGUAGUUACACGAAUCUGUCCUUAACUGUAAGAGGCUCUUAUGAUCUUAUGAGAGUUCUGGAUACCUUUCAAUCUAGAGCUAUGUAGCUAGUGAUGACCGUGAACUGCAAAUCUUCCUGUUUCCACCUUCCAAGUGCUGGGAUGACAGAUGUCUGACAGCAUACCUAGUUGAUAUGAUGCUGGAGACUGAACCAAAGGCUUUCAACACAGGCCGACAUGCUAAGCACUUUCCAUUUUGAUGACAUUACUGCUGGCAAUGCUACCGUACAGUACAGCUCAUUAUAAAUCACAGCAGAAGAUCAGAAAGCACUAUCAAUUCAUAAAGAAAACAACUGAGGGACUGGAGAGAUGACUCAGCAGGUAAGAUCACUGGCUGCUUUUCCAGAGGACCUGGGUUUGAUUUCUAACCCCAAAUGGUGGCUCACAAUGGGUCCUGUCCUCUUCUCGUCUCUCUGGGAACCAGGCAUGCUCAUGGUAUACAGACAUACAUACAGGCAAAACAUCCAUAGGAAUAAAAUGAAAUAGUGAUAAUGGUCU